rnacentral:sRNA from 1 species
GCAUGCCAACUAGAAGAGACUUGGAACUGAAGAUGAGAACAGAAUAUUAUCUUCCUCAUUUUUGUGUUUUUGUUCAAUUCUAAUGUCUGCAAAGCACUUGCGUAUGUAAUGAUGCUUGGUGUCAUAGGAGCAGGCAGGACAUCUCCAA